rnacentral:rRNA from 1 species
AAACAUGGUCUAUUGAUUAUCUUAAUAUUAGAUCUGGCCUGCUCAAUGAAUAUUAUUUAAAUAGCCGCAGUAUAUUGACUGUGCAAAGGUAGCAUAAUCAUUUGUCUUUUAAUUGAAGGCUUGUAUGAAUGGUUUGAUGAGGGAGUAGCUUUCUUUAUAUUAAAUGUUGAAUUUAACUUUUAUGUUAAAAGGCUUAAAUUUAUAAGUGGGACGAGAAGACCCUAUAGAAUUUUAUUUAUGUAUAUUAUAAUUUAUGUAUUUGGUUAAUUUUUUAUUUAUUUUUUCAUAAAUUUUGUUGGGGUGACYAGUAAGAUUUAUUUAACUCUUAUAUAUUAUAUAUUUACUGAUUAGUAUUUUAAAGAUCYCUUAUUUAAGGAUAAUUAGAUUAAAUUACYUUAGGGAUAACAGCGUAAUUUUACCGGAGAGUUCAUAUUGAUGGUGAAGUUUGCGACCUCGAUGUUGGAUUAAAAUUAGAUUUAAGUGCAGAAGCUUAA